rnacentral:rRNA from 1 species
UACGGAGGGGACUAGCGUUGUUCGGAAUUACUGGGCGUAAAGCGCACGUAGGCGGAUUUGUAAGUCAGGGGUGAAAUCCCGGGGCUCAACCUCGGAACUGCCUUUGAUACUGCAAAUCUCGAGUCCGGAAGAGGAGAGUGGAAUUCCUGGUGUAGCGGUGAAAUGCGCAGAUAUCAGGAAGAACACCCGUGGCGAAGGCGGCUCUCUGGGACGGUACUGACGCUGAGACGCGAAAGCGUGGGGAGCGAACAGG